rnacentral:tRNA from 1 species
GUUGUGGCUUGGUGGUAGACUGCUUGCCUAGCACACGUGAGGCACUGGGUUCAAUCCCCAGCACAACA